UACGUAGGCAGCGAGCGUUGUUCGGAGUUACUGGGCGUAAAGAGUGCGUAGGCGGUUUUCUAAGUUUGGUGUGAAAUCUCCCGCUUAACUGGGAGGGUGCGCCGAAAACUGGAAGGCUUGAGUAUGGGAGAGGUAAGCGGAAUUCCUGGUGUAGCGGUGAAAUGCGUAGAUAUCAGGAGGGAACACCUGCGGUGUAGACGGCUUACUGGACCAUA
rnacentral:rRNA from 1 species